AAUCUGAUUAGUUUGCUGUGUUCUGUGUUCAAUUGUUAAUUUAAAGGUCUGCUCUAAAUGUUAAACAGUGGUGACUGUGUUUUUUUAAAUAGAAAAGUGGUCUUUAUGAAAACACGGAAUAAACAAAUGCUUAGAAACAUAUUGCUAAAUCAUGCUAAACUAUAAGGUGCAGAGUGAUAAAAGCAACAAGAACCGACUCUUUUAAGAGAGUCGAGGCCAAAAGCCGAAUCUGUAAAGAACCGAACCUCCCAUCACUGUCUCGGAGCGGCUCAUGUUUCGGGAAGCGGGCUCUCAGACUCCGCCCUUGUUUUGUCAGUUUUCAAUCUUUCUGUUUCCAUGUCAUAGAAAACAGAGAAGCUCCAGACGGAAGCUUCAGGACCAUAAAGCUCGGCUUCAGGUGGACUCGUCAUGAGCAGCGGGUUCAGACCUGCGUCCGUGAAGAGAUGGAGGCGCAGGUCCGAGCUCUGCUCCUGCUUCUAGUUUUAACCCCAUCUACUGCUGAGAAGAACCUGACAGGAACUGUGGGAGGAAGCAUCACUCUGCCUGAACCUGUGCUGGAGCUGGGGUUCAUUAUAUAUGGAACAAAGACUGUAGCCAUUGUGGUUGAUGGGAAAAUGAAGAUAGUAGAGAAAAUGUAUCAGAACAAGCUUCUGUGGAGCGACAGAACUGGAUGCUUCACAAUAACAGACCUGCAGAAAAACGACUCAGGGAUUUAUGCUGUUGACCGUAAAGAAAGUGGUGUCAGCACAGCUUAUAAACUCAGCGUGUUUGACUCCGUCUCGGCUCCGACAGUGAACAGACUUGGCUCCGACAGCUGCGUCCUGCUGUGUGAGGUGGUCAACGCUGAGGAGACCACUCUGCUGUGGUACAAAGAUGACGAGGUGGUGAAGCAGAACAGCUCGGCUCCGUCUCUGUCGCUCACUGUACACGAGCAGGACUACAGAUCCUCCUACAGAUGUGUGGCUGCCAACCCCGCUGAACACAAGGCUGAACCAGUCAACCUGGAAGAGACCUGUGGACCCACCUACACAGGAAGGAACCAGGAGAAGCCGGAGGAUCGGAGUCGAGUCAUUGGCAUUGUUGUCUCCAUUGUGUCUGUGGUCGUCAUUGCGAUUGUUGGUAUCAUGAUUAAGAAGCGUUACCACAACCAGAAACCCACAGCAGCACAAGGUCCAGACAACGUGGAAACAGAGGUCCAGUACACUGAUGUACAUUUCUAUGACGACACACGCGGUCAGCAGAGAGAAAAUGUCCCAGAACCCUCAGGAAACCACGGCCGCACCCAGCUGGAAACGGUCUAUGAUAAACUGGAGGUUCACCGCUUGGUCCAACAUUCAGACCGUGGUUAG
rnacentral:lncRNA from 1 species